CGACAGGCCUAACACAUGCAAGUCGAGGGGUAGCAGGAUGUAGCAAUACAUUGCUGACGACCGGCGCACGGGUGAGUAACACGUAUGCAACCUACCUUUUACAGGGGAAUAGCCCGGAGAAAUUCGGAUUAAUACCCCAUAACACAGGGAUUCCGCAUGGUAAUAUUUGUUAAAGAUUUAUCGGUAGAAGAUGGGCAUGCGUUCCAUUAGCCAGUUGGUGAGGUAACGGCUCACCAAAGCAACGAUGGAUAGGGGAACUGAGAGGUUUAUCCCCCACACUGGUACUGAGACACGGACCAGACUCCUACGGGAGGCAGCAGUGAGGAAUAUUGGUCAAUGGACGAGAGUCUGAACCAGCCAAGUCGCGUGAAGGAUGACGGCCCUACGGGUUGUAAACUUCUUUUGAUACGAGGAGAUAAAAAGACUAGCCGGCGUA
rnacentral:rRNA from 1 species